UGCAAGUCGAGGGGUAACGGGGAAGCUUGCGUUCCGCCGACGACCGGCCCCCUGGGAUGCGUAACGCGUUAUACAAUCGUACCUUGUACUGGGGGCUAUAGCCUUUAGAAAUGAAGAUUAAUCCCCCAUAGUCUCUUAGAGUGGCAUCACUUCUAGAGUAAAGGUUACGGUAUAAGAUGAGUAUGCGUUCUAUUAGUUUGUUGGUGUGGUAACGGCACACCAAGACUACGAUAGAUAGGGGCCCUGAGAGGGGGAUCCCCCACACUGGUACUGAGACACGGACCAGACUCCUACGGGAGGCAGCAGUGAGGAAUAUUGGACAAUGGAGGCAACUCUGAUCCAGCCAUGCCGCGUGCAGGAAGACUGCCCUAUGGGUUGUAAACUGCUUUUAUACAGGAAGAAACACCUCUACGUGUAGAGGCUUGACGGUACUGUAAGAAUAAGGAUCGGCUAACUCCGUGCCAGCAGCCGCGGUAAUACGGAGGAUCCAAGCGUUAUCC
rnacentral:rRNA from 1 species